rnacentral:lncRNA from 1 species
GGCGUCACAGAGUAGAUGACUAUCUAUCGGGAUUCAAAAGAUGUCUAGGAAAUUUCCACUUGAGAAAGGGGCAAAUAAGCGUCCAUCCUCAAAAUUCUGAAUAUGACAUAAAGUAGAAGGAAAGAGGUACUCAAAAUAUCAUGACAAGAUUAGGGAGUACUUGCUGAGUGAGUCCAUGAGAAGAGUGGCAGGAAAUAAGAAUUUUAAAAAAGGGAGUUGGGGCCACUUUGUGAAGCACCGAAUUUGCUGCAAUAAGAAUUUGGACUACAGCUUUUAGCUAGUGGAGAUUAAAUGACUUUCAAUUAAGUGAUUGAUAUGAUUAAAAUGGUGUUUUAGACUAGA